rnacentral:lncRNA from 1 species
GUGCGGAGCAGCAUGUGCACUUCUCAUUUUCAUACGAGAGACAGUGUGUGCUCUGCUUAUCUUGUGAGUGGAGCAGUGUGUGCACUUCUCAUUUUCGAGUGAGAGACAGCAUGUGCUCUGCUCAUCUUGUGAGCAAAGUAGCAUGUGCUCUUCUCAUCUUCAAGUCAUAGGUUGAGGGUCUUAUAAGUUAGCCCUCAUUUGUUAAUUAUGGCUUC